rnacentral:lncRNA from 1 species
CCCGCCCGGCUCUCCAGGUUCACUCUCUGUCUCUCACUCCGUGAGACACAGACGGCAGCUUUCUGAGCCGGGGGACAGGCUGAAGCGGCGCCACACAAGUGCCACCGCUCGCCCGGAGAAGACCUAGGCAAGGGGAGAGCAAACUAAGCCCGGAGCUCCAUCCCUCCUCUACACGGUUCCUCCAGGCAGACCCGGCGGUUCCGCGCCCCCGCGCGAUACCUAUCGCAGCCACUUCGCGGGGCGUGCCUGGACUUGGGUCGCAGAUCCGAAAGAGCCAGGCGCGAGGCAACGGCGGCCCAGGAGCGAGGGUGCGCUCACUGGGACUGGAAAGGAAGGAGUGAGUGGCGGACUGGGCGGCGGCGGCUGUAGCCGCUGGUGCCUCCCCACCUCUCCGCUUCACGGGCAGCACCGCCUCCAGGGCCGGGGCCGCUCGGCCGGGUCUUCUGCGCGUUCUCGGGCCCGGAGCCGGCGCACGAUGCGCCCGGCUGCCUUCUGAUCGCUGCUGCGCCUCCGCCUCCGCCGAGAUGAUCCCCCCUGAGCCGCCACAACAGCAGCUGCAGCCGCCACCACCGCCAGCCCCGCCGAACCAUGUGGUGACCACCAUAGAGAACCUGCCGGCCGAGGGCAGCGGUGGCGGUGGCGGGAGCCUGUCCGCUUCCUCCCGGGCUGGCGUGCGCCAGAGGAUCCGCAAAGUGCUGAACAGGUGAGUCGCGGCUCCGGGCGAGGGCGCGGGGGAUCGGGACUGGGGGCUCCCGGCCCGGAGUUCCCUCCGUCCCUCGGAUGUCUCAGAUCCCUUUGGGACUGGGUCGAGGCUAAGGGAGACCGAGGAGCCCGGGCGACCAGCGAGGCGCCCGGCGCUCGCGGAGAGGCCACGGUAGCUUUGUCCUGGCGCAGAAAGCCCUGGAGUGCCGGAGCUGCAGGCUGGUCCGAGGAGCGAGUUCGGGGAGAGGCGGGGUUUUUCCGUACCUAACCUGCCCUGUGUGUAUCCGCACUCACGCCCUCGUACACGCUUGUUGUCUCACUUCCCUUUCCCACUCGUACCCCGGCUUUGUACUCGGGGGACCCAGGGACUUGGCCAGGGCGGAGGCGGGAAGGCGCCGGGCUGCGGAGAUGGCUUGGAAGUCGCGGCCUCGAGCUGUUGUCCUCCCCGCUCGGCUGCUCCGACCCCUCCCCAGGGGAUAGGGUAGUGGCUUCAGCCUCCGUGGACUGGAGGGGAAACCACUUCUGCC